rnacentral:rRNA from 1 species
CCCGGGAAACCGGAGCUAAUACCGGAUAUGACACCAACCUGCAUGGGUAUGGUGUGGAAAGUUUUUCGGUCUGGGAUGGACUCGCGGCCUAUCAGCUUGUUGGUGAGGUAAUGGCUCACCAAGGCGACGACGGGUAGCCGGCCUGAGAGGGCGACCGGCCACACUGGGACUGAGACACGGCCCAGACUCCUACGGGAGGCAGCAGUGGGGAAUAUUGCACAAUGGGCGAAAGCCUGAUGCAGCGACGCCGCGUGAGGGAUGACGGCCUUCGGGUUGUAAACCUCUUUCAGCAGGGAAGAAGCGCAAGUGACGGUACCUGCAGAAGAAGCACCGGCUAACUACGUGCCAGCAGCCGCGGUAAUACGUAGGGUGCGAGCGUUGUCCGGAAUUAUUGGGCGUAAAGAGCUUGUAGGCGGUUUGUCGCGUCUGCCGUGAAAAUUCGAGGCUCAACCUCGAAC